rnacentral:lncRNA from 1 species
UUUACAUUGGCCCUCUGAAAGGAAGCAUAUACUCAAGCCCGGGACUUUAUAGUAAAACAAUGACCCCUACUUACGACGCUCACGAUGGAAGCCCCUUGUCACCAACCUCCGCCUGGUUUGGUGACAGUGCCCUGUCAGAAGGCAAUCCCGGGAUACUUGCUGUCAGUCAGCCGGUAACAUCACCAGAAAUACUGGCAAAAAUGUUCAAGCCUCAAGCUCUUCUUGAUAAAGCAAAAACCAACCAAGGGUAAGUUUUGGG